GGUACCUUGAUCUUUUUUCAUUUAAUUAUGGAUCUUAGGCUCACUUAUGAGUGUUUAUUUUUAAAAAGGAGGUUUUUUUUAUUUCCUUUGUUGCCCCAACAAAACAUUAUUGUUCUUCUUUGAGUUUGAAGUUUUAAAUGUAAAGGUCUACAGGGUCUUGUCGUCUUUUUAGUAUAUUUUAGCCUUUUGACUAAAAGGUUAAUUUAGAUAUUAUCAUUAGAGACAGUUUUUAUCUCGUUUAAUCUUUCAUUCAAGUCUUUAAUUAGAAGACUAUUGAUUAUGCUACCUUUGCACGGUCAGGGUACCGCGGCCAUUAAAUUUUUCAUUGGGCAGAUCAUACCUCUUAUAUAGUUCAAGGGGAA
rnacentral:rRNA from 1 species